CCUACGGGUGGCAGCAGUCGAGAAUCAUUCACAAUGGGGGAAACCCUGAUGGUGCGACGCCGCGUGGGGGAAUGAAGGUCUUCGGAUUGUAAACCCCUGUCAUGUGGGAGCAAAUUAAAAAGAUAGUACCACAAGAGGAAGAGACGGCUAACUCUGUGCCAGCAGCCGCGGUAAUACAGAGGUGUCAAGCGUUGUACGGAAUCACUGGGCGUAAAGCGUGCGUAGGCUGUUUCGUAAGUCGUGUGUGAAAGGCGCGGGCUCAACCCGCGGACGGCACAUGAUACUGCGAGACUAGAGUAAGGGAGAGGGAACCGGAAUUCUCGGUGUAGCAGUGAAAUGCGUAGAUAUCGGGAGGAACACUAGUGGCGAAGGCGGGUUCCUGGACAUUAACUGACGCUGAGGCACGAAGGCCAGGGGAGCGAAAGGGAUUAGAUACGCGAGUAGUC
rnacentral:rRNA from 1 species